ACUUAAAUUGAAGAGUUUGAUCAUGGCUCAGAUUGAACGCUGGCGGCAGGCCUAACACAUGCAAGUCGAACGGUAGCACAGAGAGCUUGCUCUCGGGUGACGAGUGGCGGACGGGUGAGUAAUGUCUGGGAAACUGCCUGAUGGAGGGGGAUAACUACUGGAAACGGUGGCUAAUACCGCAUAACGUCGCAAGACCAAAGAGGGGGACCUUCGGGCCUCUUGCCAUCAGAUGUGCCCAGAUGGGAUUAGCUUGUUGGUGAGGUAACGGCUCACCAAGGCGACGAUCCCUAGCUGGUCUGAGAGGAUGACCAGCCACACUGGAACUGAGACACGGUCCAGACUCCUACGGGAGGCAGCAGUGGGGAAUAUUGCACAAUGGGCGCAAGCCUGAUGCAGCCAUGCCGCGUGUAUGAAGAAGGCCUUCGGGUUGUAAAGUACUUUCAGCGGGGAGGAAGGUGUUGUGGUUAAUAACCGCAGCAAUUGACGUUACCCGCAGAAGAAGCACCGGCUAACUCCGUGCCAGCAGCCGCGGUAAUACGGAGGGUGCAAGCGUUAAUCGGAAUUACUGGGCGUAAAGCGCACGCAGGCGGUCUGUCAAGUCGGAUGUGAAAUCCCCGGGCUCAACCUGGGAACUGCAUU
rnacentral:rRNA from 1 species